GACGAACGCUGGCGGCGUGCUUAACACAUGCAAGUCGAACGGAAAGGCCCUGCUUGCAGGGUACUCGAGUGGCGAACGGGUGAGUAACACGUGGGUGAUCUGCCCUGCACUUCGGGAUAAGCCUGGGAAACUGGGUCUAAUACCGGAUAGGAGCCAUUUUUAGUGUGAUGGUUGGAAAGUUUUUUCGGUGUAGGAUGAGCUCGCGGCCUAUCAGCUUGUUGGUGGGGUAAUGGCCUACCAAGGCGGCGACGGGUAGCCGGCCUGAGAGGGUGGACGGCCACAUUGGGACUGAGAGACGGCCCAGACUCCUACGGGAGGCAGCAGUGGGGAAUAUUGCACAAUGGGCGCAAGCCUGAUGCAGCGACGCCGCGUGGGAGAUGACGGCCUUCGGGUUGUAAACUCCUUUCGCUAGGGACGAAGCUUUUUGUGACGGUACCUAGAUAAGAAGCACCGGCUAACUACGUG
rnacentral:rRNA from 1 species